rnacentral:rRNA from 1 species
GCGUCUUAAGCAUGCAAGUCAAACGGGAUGUAGCAAUACAUCUAGUGGCGAACGGGUGAGUAACGCGUGGAUGAUCUACCUACGAGAUGGGGAUAACUAUUAGAAAUAGUAGCUAAUACCGAAUAAAGUCAAUUAAUUUGUUAAUUGAUGAAAGGAAGCCUUUAAAGCUUCGCUUGUAGAUGAGUCUGCGUCUUAUUAGCUAGUUGGUAGGGUAAAUGCCUACCAAGGCGAUGAUAAGUAACCGGCCUGAGAGGGUGAACGGUCACACUGGAACUGAGAUACGGUCCAGACUCCUACGGGAGGCAGCAGCUAAGAAUCUUCCGCAAUGGGCGAAAGCCUGACGGAGCGACACUGCGUGAAUGAAGAAGGUCGAAAGAUUGUAAAAUUCUUUUAUAAAUGAGGAAUAAGCUUUGUAGGAAAUGACAAAGUGAUGACGUUAAUUUAUGAAUAAGCCCCGGCUAAUUACGUGCCAGCAGCCGCGGUAAUACGUAAGGGGCGAGCGUUGUUCGGGAUUAUUGGGCGUAAAGGGUGAGUAGGCGGAUAUAUAAGUCUAUGCAUAAAAUACCACGGCUCAACUGUGGAACUAUGUUGGAAACUAUAUGUCUAGAGUCUGAUAGAGGAAGUUAGAAUUUCUGGUGUAAGGGUGGAAUCUGUUGAUAUCAGAAAGAAUACCGGAGGCGAAGGCGAACUUCUGGGUCAAGACUGACGCUGAGUCACGAAAGCGUAGGGAGCAAACAGGAUUAGAUACCCUGGUAGUCUACGCUGUAAACGAUGCACACUUGGUGUUAACUAAAAGUUAGUACCGAAGCUAACGUG